GACGAACGCUGGCGGCGUGCCUAAUACAUGCAAGUUGAGCGCUGAAGGUUGGUACUUGUACCAACUGGAUGAGCAGCGAACGGGUGAGUAACGCGUGGGGAAUCUGCCUUUGAGCGGGGGACAACAUUUGGAAACGAAUGCUAAUACCGCAUAAAAACUUUAAACACAAGUUUUAAGUUUGAAAGAUGCAAUUGCAUCACUCAAAGAUGAUCCCGCGUUGUAUUAGCUAGUUGGUGAGGUAAAGGCUCACCAAGGCGAUGAUACAUAGCCGACCUGAGAGGGUGAUCGGCCACAUUGGGACUGAGACACGGCCCAAACUCCUACGGGAGGCAGCAGUAGGGAAUCUUCGGCAAUGGACGAAAGUCUGGCCGAGCAACGCCGCGUUAGUGAAGAAGGUUUUCGGAUCGUAAAACUCUGUUGGUAGAGAAGAACGUUGGUGAGAGUGGAAAGCUCAUCAAGUGACGGUAACUACCCAGAAAGGGACGGCUAACUACGUG
rnacentral:rRNA from 1 species